CUGCCCGCCGCCUCGAGUAGUGGAGGACCUGAAAGCGCGCCCCCGGGGCCUCCCCCCGCGCAACUUCCUGGCUGUGCCACCGCGGACAGCUAUCCAGUCAGUUCGCUGCUAUUCCCAUGGGUCACAGGAGACAGAUGAGGAGUUUGAUGCUCGCUGGGUAACAUACUUCAACAAGCCAGAUAUAGAUGCCUGGGAAUUGCGUAAAGGGAUAAACACACUUGUUACCUAUGAUAUGGUUCCAGAGCCCAAAAUCAUUGAUGCUGCUUUGCGGGCAUGCAGACGGUUAAAUGAUUUUGCUAGUACAGUUCGUAUCCUAGAGGUUGUUAAGGACAAAGCAGGACCUCAUAAGGAAAUCUACCCCUAUGUCAUCCAGGAACUUAGACCAACUUUAAAUGAACUGGGAAUCUCCACUCCGGAGGAACUGGGCCUUGACAAAGUGUAAACCGCAUGGAUGGGCUUCCCCAAGGAUUUAUUGACAUUGCUACUUGAGUGUGAACAGUUACCUGGAAAUACUGAUGAUAACAUAUUACCUUAUUUGAACAAGUUUUCCUUUAUUGAGUACCAAGCCAUGUAAUGGUAACU
rnacentral:lncRNA from 1 species